AGCGAACGCUGGCGGCAGGCCUAACACAUGCAAGUCGAACGAACUCUUCGGAGUUAGUGGCGGACGGGUGAGUAACACGUGGGAACGUGCCUUUAGGUUCGGAAUAACUCAGGGAAACUUGCGCUAAUACCGAAUGUGCCCUUCGGGGGAAAGAUUUAUCGCCUUUAGAGCGGCCCGUGUCUGAUUAGCUAGUUGGUGAGGUAACGGCUCACCAAGGCGACGAUCAGUAGCUGGUCUGAGAGGAUGACCAGCCACACUGGGACUGAGACACGGCCCAGUCUCCUACGGGAGGCAGCAGUGGGGAAUCUGGCGCAAUGGGCGAAAGCCUGACGCAGCCAUGCCGCGUGGAUGAUGAAGGUCUUAGGAUUGUAAAAUCCUUUCACCGGUGAAGAUAAUGACUGUAGCCGGUGAAGAAGCCCCGGCUAACUUCGUGCCAGCCGCCGCCGUAACAC
rnacentral:rRNA from 1 species